rnacentral:tRNA from 1 species
GGUCGGGUAGCUUAGUGGUAGAGCAAUCGCCCGGUAAGCGAGAGACCCGAGUUCGAUUCUCGGUCCGCCG